rnacentral:rRNA from 1 species
GUCCACGCUGUAAACGAUGAGUGCUAGAUGUUGCGGGUAUUGACCCCUGCAGUGUCAAAGCUAACGCGUUAAGCACUCCGCCUGGGGAGUACGGUCGCAAGAUUAAAACUCAAAGGAAUUGACGGGGGCCCCGCACAAGCGGUGGAGCAUGUGGUUUAAUUCGACGCAACGCGCAGAACCUUACCUGGGUUUGAACUGCAGCAGACCGGCGCAGAAAUGUGCCUUUCCUUCGGGACUGCUGUGGAGGUGCUGCAUGGCUGUCGU